AAAAUAAAUGCAAGAAUGGAAAUGGAAUUAGGCUAUCUCAUCAAUCAGUUCUCUUUUUCUUCUUCUUGGAACUCUUUUUUUCCGCUUUCUUUCUUUUCUUGCCACUCUGUUGAGAGUCGGUGUCAGGAAGGUCUGAU
rnacentral:ribozyme from 13 species